rnacentral:lncRNA from 10 species
CCACAGCCAUUCUCACGGGUGCUGGGCAUUCUGCAAGGUGUCUUGCCUCUGAUGGAUCAGGUUAUGGGCCAGGAUAAAACCAAAGGACCUCCCAGGCCUCACUGUGGCAUCAGGAGCCGGCCACCCUGCAAGCCCUACACAUGGCGGGCUGAAAGACUGCCAGGGUCUGCCUCAGCCUCUGGGGUAGCUGGGACUGCAGGUGUGCGCCACCACACCCGGCUAAUUUUUGUAUUUUUAGUAGAGACAGGGUUUCACCAUGUUGACCAGGAUAGUCUCGAACUCCUGACCUCAAGUGAUCUGCCCAACUCAGCCUCCCAAAGUGCUGGGAUUACAGGCAUGAGCCACUGUGCCCAACCGGGUUUUUGCUGUUUUUAAUUUUGAAACAGGGUCUUGAUUUCGCUCAGGCCAGAGUGUGAUGGCACCAUCAUAGCUCACUGACUUUGCUAUUUACUUUUACAAUUUUUCAGUUGGAGCCUUUGCUGGAACAUAACAUUCAGAAGUCUUUUUUUUUUUUUUUUUUUUUUUGAGCCGGAGUCUCACUCUGUCAUCCAGGCUGGAGUGCAGUGGUACGAUCUUGGCUCACUGCAACCUCCUCCUCCUGGAUUCAAGCGAUUCUCCUGCCUCAGCCUCCUGAGUAGCUGGGAUUACAGGCAGCUGCCACCAUGCCCUGCUAAUUUUUGUAUAUUUAGAAGAGACGGGGUUUCACCAUGUUGGCGAAGCUGGUCUCGAACUCCUGACCUCAAGUGAUCCGUCCACCUCGGCCUCCUAAAUUGUUGGGAUGACAGGUGUGAGCCACCGCGCCCAGCCCGAUCUUCCAUUUGCAAGAGAAGAGGAAAAUCCCCAUUUUCACGGGAAACCUCCUAGUUUUUUAGGUUGACAAACGACUCCAAACCAUCAUGCACCCGCCCCGGUCCUCUGGGCCAACGCGCCGGUGCUGAGCUCCUCCAGGCCCCCCAAGUCUGUCUGUCACCUCCAAGCCUUGGCCCUGGGCCAGGCCUGGCUGUCUGGGACCCCGGAGACGUCCCCGCCCCGCGGCCUGUGGCCUGGCCCUUCAGCCGCGCCUCGGGGCCCGCGACCUCCUUGCCCCGGCCCCGGCCCGCGCGGUCGGUGGUGGGUCGGACCAAACCACCCGCUCCAGCCGGGGAGCAGAACGGGCGAGGCUCCCCCUCCGGCCACGAUGGAGUCUUCCGUUGCCAUGGAGCUGCCCGCCCCAAACCACGCCGCCGGCGCCGCGGAGGGCAAUCGCCAAGGACCGCCGCCUGCCUGAGCAGCCCGGGGUGUCUGUGCCUCCGGAGCCCGAGAACCUGGGACCCAGGCCAGCCAGAGGUGGGUGUGGGGGCGGAUGCGUUUGACCCUGGGGCUGAGCUGGAAGGGUUUGACCCCCGCCCCCCAGGCAGAACUCCGUCCCAUAUGAAACGCCUUUCCCGGAAAGCUGUGCCAGAAAAAUGACUUUGUUAAUAGUUCUAGUCCCUGGUUCGUUUCAGGGAACCCCGGCGCUGGCACAGCCUCUGUUGAGGGACCCGCCCCUGACUUUGCAGCAGAUGUUAUAAUAAAGUAUUAUUAUAACACAUUUACAAAAACAUUAAACAAAAAUCAAGGGCCAGCCUGUCUGGUGAACAGUUAAGACUCGUGAGUGUCUGCCUAGCUAAAAAGGAGAGCAUGGUCCAUAGCCCCAAAGUCAUUUAGUUUUAGUAUGUAUAACCUAGUUUUGGAAGCUGAUUUGCCUCUAGUAUUUUGUUUUUCUUAAAGGAAUACUCCUUUUAUCUGCAUAAGCCAGGUACUGAGGUAGUAAGCAGGCCUGCUGUAGGGCCCACAGUUGAAAAGAAAUGGACUGAUAUUCUCUGCAUAACGAUGGUGCAUAAAUGCGCAUGUGCGACUUAGAGAUUGGUUAUAAAUCGAACAUCAGUAGCCACUACCCAAGUUAAGAAAUAGAACCUCAUCAGCACCCCAAAGU